rnacentral:rRNA from 1 species
AUUGAACGCUGGCGGCAGGCCUAACACAUGCAAGUCGAGCGGUUGAAGGCAUCUUGCUCCUGGAUUCAGCGGCGGACGGGUGAGUAAUGCCUAGGAAUCUGCCUGGUUGUGCUGUUUUACUUCCUGACACCGUCGCUAAUACCCCAUACGUCCUGAUUGCGAAUGUGUGGGAUCUUCGGACUUCACGCUAUCACGUGAUCGUAGGUCGGAUUAGCUAGUUGGUGGGGUAACGGCCUACCAAGGGGACGAUCCGUUGCUGGUCUGAGAGGGUGAUCAGUCACACUGGAACUGAGAGACGGGCCAGAGACUUACGGGAGGCAGAAGUGGGGAAUAUAGGACAAUGGGCGAAAGACUGAGACAGCGAGGCGGCGUGUGUGAAGAAGGGCUUCGGGGUGUAAAGAACUUUAAGGUGGGAGGAAGGGGAGUAAGUUAAUACCGUGCUGGUUUGACGUAACCAAAAGAAUAAGCACCGGCUAACUUCGU